CACGUAGGGCGCAAGCGUUGUCCGGAAUUAUUGGGCGUAAAGAGCGUGUAGGCGGCCAGGUAGGUCCGUUGUGAAACCUGGAGGCUCAACCUCCAGCGGUCGAUGGAAACCAUCUGGCUAGAGUCCGGAAGAGGAGAGUGGAAUUCCUGGUGUAGCGGUGAAAUGCGCAGAUAUCAGGAAGAACACCCGUGGCGAAGGCGGCUCUCUGGGACGGUACUGACGCUGAGACGCGAAAGCGUGGGGAGCGAACAGG
rnacentral:rRNA from 1 species